rnacentral:rRNA from 1 species
GGGCUUCCUGAGCUUGUAKACUUCGGUCUGCUACCUCUUACCCAUGUCUUUUGAGUACCUUCGUUUCCUCGGCGGGUCCGCCCGCCGAUUGGACAACAUUCAAACCCUUUGCAGUUGCAAUCAGCGUCUGAAAAAACAUAAUAGUUACAACUUUCAACAACGGAUCUCUUGGUUCUGGCAUCGAUGAAGAACGCAGCGAAAUGCGAUAAGUAGUGUGAAUUGCAGAAUUCAGUGAAUCAUCGAAUCUUUGAACGCACAUUGCGCCCCUUGGUAUUCCAUGGGGCAUGCCUGUUCGAGCGUCAUUUGUACCUUCAAGCUCUGCUUGGUGUUGGGUGUUUGUCUCGCCUCUGCGUGUAGACUCGCCUUAAAACAAUUGGCAGCCGGCGUAUUGAUUUCGGAGCGCAGUACAUCUCGCGCUUUGCACUCAUAACGACGACGUCCAAAAGUACAUUUUUACACUCUUGACCUCGGAUCAGGUAGGGAUACCCGCUGAACUUAAGCAUAUCAAUAAGCGGAGGAGA